ACGGGUGAGUAAUGCAUCGGAACGUGCCCAGUCGUGGGGGAUAACGCAGCGAAAGCUGUGCUAAUACCGCAUACGAUCUAUGGAUGAAAGCGGGGGUCCGUAAGGCCUCGCGCGAUUGGAGCGGCCGAUGUCAGAUUAGGUAGUUGGUGGGGUAAAGGCCCACCAAGCCAACGAUCUGUAGCUGGUCUGAGAGGACGACCAGCCACACUGGGACUGAGACACGGCCCAGACUCCUACGGGAGGCAGCAGUGAGGAAUAUUGGACAAUGGGCGCAAGCCUGAUCCAGCCAUGCCGCGUGCAGGAAGACGCAUCUAUGGUGUGUAAACUGCUUUUGUACGGGAAGAAACACUCCCUCGUGAGGGAGCUUGACGGUACCGUAAGAAUAAGG
rnacentral:rRNA from 1 species